rnacentral:rRNA from 1 species
GAUCCUGGCUCAGGAUGAACGCUGGCGGCGUGCCUAACACAUGCAAGUCGAGCGAUCUCUUCGGAGAGAGCGGCGGACGGGUGAGUAACGCGUGGGUAACCUGCCCUGUACACACGGAUAACAUACCGAAAGGUAUGCUAAUACGGGAUAAUAUAUAAGAGUCGCAUGACUUUUAUAUCAAAGAUUUUUCGGUACAGGAUGGACCCGCGUCUGAUUAGCUUGUUGGCGGGGUAACGGCCCACCAAGGCG